ACGGGAGGCAGCAGUGGGGAAUAUUGCACAAUGGGCGCAAGCCUGAUGCAGCGACGCCGCGUGGGGGAUGAAGGCCUUCGGGUUGUAAACCCCUUUCAGCAGGGAAGAAGCGCAAGUGACGGUACCUGCAGAAGAAGCGCCGGCUAACUACGUGCCAGCAGCCGCGGUAAUACGUAGGGCGCAAGCGUUGUCCGGAAUUAUUGGGCGUAAAGAGCUCGUAGGCGGUUUGUCGCGUCUGGUGUGAAAACUCAAGGCUCAACCUUGAGCUUGCACCGGGUACGGGCAGACUAGAGUGCGGUAGGGGUGACUGGAAUUCCUGGUGUAGCGGUGGAAUGCGCAGAUAUCAGGAGGAACACCGAUGGCGAAGGCAGGUCACUGGGCCGCAACUGACGCUGAGGAGCGAAAGCAUGGGGAGCGAACAGGAUUAGAUACCCUGGUA
rnacentral:rRNA from 1 species